rnacentral:lncRNA from 1 species
GCCCUUAUCAGGUCAGAUGCUGUAGACACAGCACCACACUGGGCAGGCAAUUACAGUGUCUGCUUCUCCACACUUAGGAAAGCCCUUUAUGCUCAGGGCUUCUGUAGCUUCCUUCCCCUUAAAUAUCAAACUGGGGAAAUAAUCCCUGUUCUCUUCCUUACAACAACAUGGUGACAGAAAAGUGACACAACAGCCUGGACGCUUCAUGUAACAUGAACACCAUGUAAAUACAGCACAACUCUGUGGUACUUUAAAUGCUUCUAAGUGCUCAGAGGCCUUCCAGGUAAGAUGAGAGUUGCAGAUGCAUCCUGGACCAGGUAUGCCUUGCAAGGACUGGCACCAGGAAUUUGCUGGGCCCAGCUGGGGUAGGUGACAUGCUACCCUGACAUCCAGACCUUCUAAAGUAGAAGCUUGGCCUGAAAGGUAUAGCCCCAAGUAAGCCUCACACCAGAGAAGAAACAGCUCACUACUGGGGGAAGGCAGGCAAGAAAAGAAGGAGGAGGGAAAAAGAAACUAAGUCAUAAAUACUAUCAUUUUCAGCUUGCAAAGGACCUUAGUUCUUGCUGCCAGCCCCCAAUGAAUAUGAGAUGUUACACAUCCAGUGAGAGGCAAAGAUAUGCUAGAAGCCAGGCUUCCUGCCCCGGCACCAGGUCACCACAGCCCUCUAUCAAAAUUCUCAACACAUCUCCUGUUUGUCGUCACUAUGCCUAUCUUGAACCGGAGUUCAAGGAAGGAGCAACAAGGAGUGACAAGAAGCAGUUCCCUGCUUAAAUGGGAAGAGAACCUGCAAAAAAUAUAAAGGGCUAAAAAGAUGGCAGUCCAAAAAAACUGUCAUCUUAAAGAGCAGGAGAAAAUACCAGGGUAUGCCACCAGAAGAAAAGGCUCAGCAAUUACUCCAAGAAAUGGGGCUCUGUCUCCUAACCACACACUUGGCCCUUCAGACUUAUACUUUCCUCCACCCCUCUUUAAUCUGCUACCCCCAAGAAGCACACUUGUCACAAGUGUGGAGAGCCCUAAGGACCAGAAUCCCUCAACCUAAGUUCUCCUGGACUUAUGCACCUUUUCCACCAUCACUUGAUGAUCUCAAGUACUGUUUAACAGCAACAAAAUGAGAUAAAUUCAGGGUAGGCUUUUAAUUGAAGACAUCAAAGGUUUUUGCCAGUACACUAAUUCAAGAAAAGAACAGAACCCCUAAUUCAGUUUUUGUAUGUAACAAUUAUACAAGCAUCAUCAAGCAAUGUCAAUGGUACUGUUUUACAUGUACAUGGCCCUGGAUACUUUUCAAAAUCUAUCCUUUCGUUUGCUUCCAGUAACAACGUGUGAGAGAUGUAUAAAGUUAGUUAUGCCCGUCUUUUGGGUGAACAAAACGUGGCAGAAAUAAACUGACAUAUCUAGGGUGCACACUAACAAAGUCAGAGCUAGAAUAAAAAUUCAACUGAUCUCAAACAUGUAUUCUGUUCCUCUGCUGUCACCUGAAGUUUCAUGGCCUAAACCCCCUUAUAGACAGAGGAGAAAGAGAGAUAAUUUAGGAAGUUAUCUAGACCAUCUUCAAUCCUCCCCGCCAAGGCAGCUCUAUUCAGUUAGUUCCCCAAAACACAGCAGCCUGCAUCUGCCUGGGUAAUCUAGAGUCUUACUUAGCCCUAAUGUGUUGAAUCAGCGUUAGCCCUUAUAAUCUAAUUCAACCUCUCUUCAGAAGCCUAAAUUGUUUUCAUGUUCUCCUAGGCCUCAUUUCACAACUGCCAUUGCACACAACCCCUUAGAAGGUGCUCCUUCUGCCUGGGUAAAGAGAGGCUGGAAACAAGUCUGCAUUCUAAGAGAGUGAAACAGAUUGAAGCUUCCUUUGUACCCAUGUGGUAAGGGUUCUCAUCAGGCACUUCCUAAAUGGCAGUGUCCCCAGAUUUGCCCCACUGAACAUUUUCUGCACAAGAGCAGCAAGCAAAAAGGCACCAAGUGGGAAGUGAGACACGAGACUUACCUUUCUUCUCUUCUCUUAGCUGCUACCCUGGAGAUCACCAAACCCCCUUCCAGCAGUCCAUUUCCAAAACUUAGAAUACCAAAUCAGAUACACCAAAGUGCAGUUUCUCUCCUCUUAUCCAGGUCCAAAGUCC